GAAAAAGAUUAAUUGAAGCUGCUAACUUUGAUGUGGGGUUGUUAACUCCCUUUUUCU
rnacentral:tRNA from 1 species